rnacentral:rRNA from 1 species
AGAGUUUGAUCCUGGCUCAGGACGAACGCUGGCGGCGUGCUUAACACAUGCAAGUCGAACGGAAAGGCCCUUCGGGGUACUCGAGUGGCGAACGGGUGAGUAACACGUGGGUGAUCUGCCCUGCACUUUGGGAUAAGCCUGGGAAACUGGGUCUAAUACCGAAUAGGACCACGCGCUUCAUGGUGUGUGGUGGAAAGCUUUUGCGGUGUGGGAUGGGCCCGCGGCCUAUCAGCUUGUUGGUGGGGUAAUGGCCUACCAAGGCGACGACGGGUAGCCGGCCUGAGAGGGUGACCGGCCACACUGGGACUGAGAUACGGCCCAGACUCCUACGGGAGGCAGCAGUGGGGAAUAUUGCACAAUGGGCGCAAGCCUGAUGCAGCGACGCCGCGUGAGGGAUGACGGCCUUCGGGUUGUAAACCUCUUUCAAUAGGGACGAAGCGCAAGUGACGGUACCUAUAGAAGAAGCACCGGCCAACUACGUGCCAGCAGCCGCGGUAAUACGUAGGGUGCGAGCGUUGUCCGGAAUUACUGGGCGUAAAGAGCUCGUAGGUGGUUUGUCGCGUUGUUCGUGAAAACUCACAGCUUAACUGUGGGCGUGCGGGCGAUACGGGCAGACUAGAGUACUGCAGGGGAGACUGGAAUUCCUGGUGUAGCGGUGGAAUGCGCAGAUAUCAGGAGGAACACCGGUGGCGAAGGCGGGUCUCUGGGCAGUAACUGACGCUGAGGAGCGAAAGCGUGGGGAGCGAACAGGAUUAGAUACCCUGGUAGUCCACGCCGUAAACGGUGGGUACUAGGUGUGGGUUCCUUCCUUGGGAUCCGUGCCGUAGCUAACGCAUUAAGUACCCCGCCUGGGGAGUACGGCCGCAAGGCUAAAACUCAAAGGAAUUGACGGGGGCCCGCACAAGCGGCGGAGCAUGUGGAUUAAUUCGAUGCAACGCGAAGAACCUUACCUGGGUUUGACAUGCACAGGACGCCGGCAGAGAUGUCGGUUCCCUUGUGGCCUGUGUGCAGGUGGUGCAUGGCUGUCGUCAGCUCGUGUCGUGAGAUGUUGGGUUAAGUCCCGCAACGAGCGCAACCCUUGUCCUAUGUUGCCAGCGGGUUAUGCCGGGGACUCGUAGGAGACUGCCGGGGUCAACUCGGAGGAAGGUGGGGAUGACGUCAAGUCAUCAUGCCCCUUAUGUCCAGGGCUUCACACAUGCUACAAUGGCCGGUACAAAGGGCUGCGAUGCCGUGAGGUGGAGCGAAUCCUUUCAAAGCCGGUCUCAGUUCGGAUCGGGGUCUGCAACUCGACCCCGUGAAGUCGGAGUCGCUAGUAAUCGCAGAUCAGCAACGCUGCGGUGAAUACGUUCCCGGGCCUUGUACACACCGCCCGUC